rnacentral:rRNA from 1 species
AGAGGUCCCAAGCGUUGUUCGGAUUUACUGGGCGUAAAGGGUGCGUAGGCGGCUAGAAAAGUUUGGUGUGAAAUCUUCGGGCUCAACCCGGAAACUGCACUGAAAACUAUCUGGCUAGAGGAUCGGAGAGGAGAUUGGAAUUCUCGGUGUAGCAGUGAAAUGCGUAGAUAUCGAGAGGAACACCAGUUGCGAAGGCGGAUCUCUGGACGGUUCCUGACGCUGAGGCACGAAAGCUGGGGUAGCGAAGAGGAUUAGAUACCCUCGUAGUCCCAGCCGUAAACGGUGCACACUUGCUGUGGGCGGAUUCGACCCCGUCCGUGGCGAAGCUAACGCGAUAAGUGUGCCGCCUGGGGAGUACGGUCGCAAGAUUAAAACUCAAAGAAAUUGACGGGGGCCUGCACAAGCGGUGGAGUAUGUGGCUUAAUUCGAUGCAACGCGAAGAACUUUACCUGGCCUUGACAUGUAGUGGCCCGGGUGCGAAAUCACCCUUUUCUUCGGAACUGCUACACAGGUGCUGCAUGGCUGUCGUCAGCUCGUGUCGUGAGAUGUUGGGUUAAGUCCCGCAACGAGCGCAACCCUCAUGUUCUGUUGCCACCCGGAUGUAAAUCCGGAGCACUCUGGACAGACUGCCUGGUUUUAACCAGGAGGAAGGUGGGGAUGACGUCAAGUCAGUAUGGCCCUUACGGCCAGGGCUGCACACGUACUACAAUGCCUGAUAUAAUGGGAAGCAAGACCGCGAGGUGGAGCAAAUCCUCAAAAUCGGGCCCAGUUCAGAUUGUAGGCUGCAACUCGCCUACAUGAAGGAGGAAUCGCUAGUAAUGCCGUAUCAGCUACGACGGCGUGAAUACGUUCCCAGGCCUU